UUUUUUUGUUUUGAGAAAUAGGUAGCACGCUACCCGUUUCAUUUAUUUCAUUUAGAAAUAAGCUUAGUUGUAAAUGUGAAUCAACUAGGAUUCGAACUUGGAACUCGGAUACCAACCAUCAAACUCUUUGUUACUUGCUUUGCUACUUGCUCUAUUGACGGUUGGUUGCAAUAUUUCGAUUGCAUAUUUCGAACUUGGGUCUCGUGUACCAACCACCAAUCACCAAUCACCAAGCCCUUUAUCACAGUUAACAAUAUUUCGAUUGCAUAUUCUUUAGGAACAUUAGCAAAGUAAAAACUACGGGAAAAAAAAGUGUUACACUAUGAACAACAAAACCGGAAAAUGCAACCGUAUUAUUCUAUAUGAGAAAUUCUUUAGUUUCCCGUGUAUAUAUAUAGAGGGAGAGAGCGAGAGAGAGUAGAGUUACUACACUUUUAUAAGUAUAAAGUCCUUCGUACUCAUAAAUUAUUUUUGAUGAUGGAGCUUCCGACUUGACGAUUCAUUCCGUUAAAUAUGAUAUAGAGUAUUUAAAACUUUUAAAAAAUAAAUUUUGUAAUUUUUUGAAUCAUAAUAAAGUCUAUCAAAUAGACAUAAAAUAAACUGUCAAAAUCAAACGACGUCUUAAAGAUGAAUGAUUGAAUUCUUCAACUUAAAAUCGGAGUUAUUGAUCUUUUAUCUAGAUAGUGAAUACUG
rnacentral:lncRNA from 1 species